GCGACAAUAUCGAACAAGCCUCUUUCUGUUUAUAAAGCUCGCUGAAAUCACUCAAUUUUAAGCGGAAAUAAUAAUGUGUUACUGUUAUUAACUAAAUUUUGUAGUUAACUCAUACCCCCAAAAAAUGUUUUGUUUAUUUCUAGAGCACUAGGAAUAUUUUUGAUCGUGGUGGCUCGAAGAUUUACAUUAUUUUGUGAGCAUAUCAUGGGGAAUUGUCGUUGUAUUUUAUUACCAGAAUACAGUUUACAAAAUAAAAAAUGUGUUUACAUAGUUAAAUAUGAAACAGCGAGACUCCUGCGAGAUACAUAUAAAGUACUGUACCUGUACUAUGAGAUUUCAAACGCGUAUUGUUUUGAAUGUCUGAGGCGGAAGUAAAAUGUUGAGCUGAAAUGUAAUGUCCAAAAUCGUCCAAGUUAGUGAUACUUACCUCUUCUAUCAAAUGGGACUUUUCGGGAUUGGAGUGUCGUGACAUUCCACCGAGGAGAUGAUGGACCCGCCCCACGUCGACAUGUCAAGCGAGGACCCAGCAAGGCCCGUGAAUCCUGGGACUUUCCUAGCCAGCCAAUGCGGGAAGAGCGGCCACGCGCAGGCCAGAGUUGGCGUGGACUUCCCAGUGUUUGUGGUUCUUCCUGCCGGUGGGAGCGGAGAGAGGACCGGACUGCAGACACCCAAACAGUUUUGCUUGUUACUGGGUCGACCGCUUAUAAGCUACACCAUUCAGGCUUUUGAGAGGGUAUCAUGGAUCCACAGCAUUGUGGUUGUCGUGCCCAAAGAAAACAUGGACCUGAUGGCGGCCAUCAUUGGGCGCUUCCGGCACGACAAGGUCCGGGUGGUGCCGGGCGGCUCCACGCGUCACAGGUCCAUUUGCAAUGGCGUCAUGGCUCUGGGUGAGGUAGAGGAGGAGGAGGCAAAAGAGGAGAAGGAGAACAAGGUGGUCAUCAUUCAUGACGCCGUGCGACCUUUUGUUGAGGAGGACCUACUGUAUCGGGUAACCAUGGCUGCCCAAGAACAUGGAGCUUCGGGGGCCAUCCGACCGCUCGUCUCCACGGUGAUCGGCACCACAUCGGAGGGCUUCCUUGACCACUCGCUGGAGCGAGCCAAGUACAGAGCCAGCGAGAUGCCUCAGGCCUUCAUGUACAGCAUCAUCCAGAGAGCCUACAAGAGGUGCACCGAGGCCGACUUUGACUUUGGUACCGAGUGUCUCCAUCUGGUGCUGCAGUACUGUGGCACAAACGCCAAGCUCAUCGAGGGCCCGCCCACGUUGUGGAAGCUCACCUACAAAAGGGAUUUGGCUGCUGCAGAGUCAGUCAUUAAAGACACAUUAUCUCAGUCAGCCUGCAUGAUCACAGGUGGAUGUUCGCAUGCUAGGAUGCUGGCCGACUCCCUCUACAAGGCCUUUUGUAACCUAGAAAUGGAGCUGGAUAUCAUCCCAGAUGUGAGAGGAGACAACGGCUCCAGGAUCAAGGCCUGGAACUUCAUCCAAUUUUCUAUGAAUGACUCUGAUUUGGAUAAAGUGGAGGCCACGUUUGCGGCUGUGGAGGGGACUAAUCAAACGCUUCUCCACCCAGUGGUUGUCAUUGUGGUCCAUUUAAGAACUUUGGAUCGAUGUGCAGCCGAGCCGACUGCCUUUGCAGAAUUGGCCUCGGCAGCCAAGCUCCGGAAUAUUCUCUUGUAUGGCAUCCAUCUGCAACAGUCGAAGUAAUUCUACCCUGGAGAUCACAUUUUCAAGACGGACUGCUGAGUAUUUGUGUGCCACCGUGCAAACGAAGACUUGAUUCAAUAAGACCCCACUUUGAAGCUUGAUUCAAAGGCUUCGUGUCUAUCUGGAGUAGAAGGAAUUGAACGUGGACUGUAAACUUUCUCUGAUCCUCCCUGGAUGCCGAGCAUUGGGCAAGGUCUUUGUCCAAAGCAGCAGAGUUGACAUCAGCUUUGAUUCGGGAGCGGAGUGAGGCCUUGGUGGGUCAACUUCUACAAACGUGACGCCACAAAAAAUCAUUUUAAGUAGGCUCCACUAUCAAAUGGACUGAAAGGCGCAAGCUGUCCUAAGCCCGCCUAGACAUCUUGAUGUUUUUUUUUUUUUUUUAUUAUUAUUAUUUCAAAAGCUCACCGCGACUAAUAAAUUGGCUUGUACAUGUGGAAUUGUCGGAAUGUCCCUUUAAUAUUCUCCUGACUGAUGCUUUUAUUUAUUUUUUUUUAAGAGUGCUUGUUAAAAGUAAAGCUGAUUUUUCAUCA